rnacentral:rRNA from 1 species
UGGGGAAUAUUGGGCAAUGGGCGCAAGCCUGACCCAGCAACGCCGCGUGAGGGAAGAAGGUUUUCGGAUUGUAAACCUCUGUCCUUGGUGACGAAGGAAGUGACGGUAGCCAAGGAGGAAGCCCCGGCUAACUACGUGCCAGCAGCCGCGGUAAUACGUAGGGGGCGAGCGUUGUCCGGAAUUACUGGGCGUAAAGGGUGAGUAGGCGGUUUUUUAAGUUGGAUGUGAAAUACCCGGGCUUAACUUGGGGGGUGCAUUCAAAACUGGAGAACUAGAGUACAGGAGAGGAAAGCGGAAUUCCUAGUGUAGCGGUGAAAUGCGUAGAUAUUAGGAGGAACACCGGUGGCGAAGGCGGCUUUCUGGACUGAAACUGACGCUGAGGCACGAAAGCGUGGGAGCAAACAGGAUUAGAUACCCUGGUAGU